AUCAAUGGACCGGCUCUUUCUUUGGACCGCUCUGAUUUCUCGGAACCUAAGUACUUUAAAAAUCAACCGUUUGCACGAAACGUUAGCUAUUUGAGCUAGUACCAACCCCCGCUCCCACCAGUGUCGCCGUGAACUCCGUUGGGGAAGGACGUUUGCUGCAGUGUUUCGCGCGCUCCCGAUGUAAUAUUCUCUUGACUCAGUUUACCAGCAUGGCAAAACGAGGAGAAUACUAUGCGUGGAACGAAGAAAGCAUGACAUUGGCUCUACAAGCUUUAAGUAAACAAGAAGUUGGACUGAAUGAGGCAAGCAGGAUAUAUGGUGUACCAAUAGCGACGCUAAAAAGAAGGCUGGACGACAAAAAUUUAAGAGCAAUAGGUGCAAAACAAAUAAUUGGUUCAAUAGGUGACCUUACUCCUGACUUAGAGAAAAAGUUAGUCGAUCAUAUUUUGGAGUUGGAAAGCUGUUUAUACGGAAUCACGCCAAAAGAUGUCAGAAGCUUAGCUUACAAAAUAGCUUUAUAAAGCGUUGACUAAUUGUAGAAUAAUAAAAUUGAUUAUUAUA